UAGGGAAUAUUAGAAAUGGACGCAAGUCUGAUCUAGCAACACCGCGUGUGCGAAGAAGGCCUUCGGGUUGUAAAGCACUUUUUGGAAGGAUUAGGAAGGAAUGUACUUCCAGAAUAAGUCUCGGCUAACUACGUGCCAGCAGCCGCGGUAACACGUAGGAGGCAAACGUUAUCCGGAUUUACUGGGCGUAAAGCGCGUGUAGGUGGUUCUGUAAGUAGGGCGUGAAAGCUCCUGGCUCAACUGGGAGAGGCCGUUCUAAACUGCAGAGCUAGAGGAUGGUAGAGGGAGGUGGAAUUCCGUGUGUAGCGGUUGAAUGCGCAGAUAUCCGGAGGAACACCAGUGGCGAAAGCGGCCUCCUGGACCAUUCCUGACACUCAGACGCGAAAGCUAGGGUAGCAAACGG
rnacentral:rRNA from 1 species